AUUAAAAAAAAUAAAAUAAUCGAUUGUGUAUACGAAUUACUAAUUGGACUUUGGAAUCUUGUUUUAGCCAUGAAUUAAUAAAUGUAUCAUUAACUUUUGUUGAUGAUACAUUACGUCAGCAUUCGUAAAAACGAAUGCUGACGUAAUGUCAAGGGUUUGCUGACGUCAGCCCAAGUAACUCACCAUGAUAAAUGAUAAUAGAAGAAUUUACAAUGUCUAGACCAGGGGUCGCCAAACAACGGACCGCGGUCCCCAUUACACACUUGGUAAUAAAUAUCCAAACUACAAAAAUUUGCUUUGAAACUUCUUACUUUAUUUGGUUGAACAUAAAUUUGUGAAGCAGCAAUUUCGAAGAUGAACUUCAUAAAGAAUAAAUUUCGAUCUCGACUAACGGAUGAAAUGAAAUCUUGCUAGAAAUUUUACUCGAAACCUCAGAUAUAAUAGACCUCAACAAAAAAUGACAUUUAUCUUUUAUUAUUGAUAUGAAAAAAAUAUCUAUGUUAUAUUCGUAAUUACAUUUGUUUAAUAAGUAUUUUUUCUAUAAAAUGUUGUGCGAUUUCUCAAAACGGACCUCAAGCGGAAUUAAUUAGUGAUCCCUGGUCUAGACAGUAAACACAAUAAAUUUAAAUGUUUACUACUAAUACGAUUUUUAAAUACACGUUUUUUAAGUUUACGAUUUACAAGUAUCCAAGUCAAUGGAUGUAUCGCAUUGUUAGUGAACCUUCAGACAUCUUUAUUCUGUUAAAUAUAUUUGAAUUUUGAAUCUAUACUUAUUUGUAGAUAAAUUAUGGUGUUAUUAAUGUCCGUUAAUAAAAACAAACUUCAAACGAGAAUUAAUCAAUUCUAGAUACUUCGGUGUCUAUAAUUUUAAGGGAAUUUAAAAGAGUUUGUAUUUUAAUGGAAGGCGAUUUAAAAUAUCUUUAGAUAAGUAGUGGCUCUGUUGAAAUAGUCUUCCCGAAUGCAUACGGGUAAAUAAAUAUUUCGAAUUCUUUAUCUAAUCAAACACACAUAUCUUGCUGCCUUCGAUUAAGUCUACGAAGCGACACUGCUGGAUGUUUCUUGACUUUAAUGUUCCUAAUUAGCUAGAUAUAUAAAAAUAUAGCGAUCUUAUAACUUUGCUUGAUUACCUUCAAGUGCUCAUUUUUAUAUUAGUGAAGUUUUGUUGAUAUAUUAUGUUUUUCUUUUUAAAUGUUAAUAGAAUUGCCUUUAUAAUUUUCAUUGAAAGAAAAAUCCAAGGUUUCAGGAGCUCAUAGCAAUUCAUGAAACAAUUUGUCCUGUUUCGUUACAAAUUGUUAAUGCAAAGGCAAUACGAGAAGUGAGUACCGUUCAGCACAUGAUUUAAUUAUAAACCACAAAAGGAACGAUAAGAAUAGAUAUCAAAACCAUAAGUAAGAUUUUAGUCACCAAAUAGAGAGCGCAUCGAAUUACCGCAUCAAAGUGAUGAGUGAGAUUCGCCUCUCGAUUGCGUAAUACCACUCGGCGAGUAAAUUCUAUGGAUAGUGUUGUGUGUAAAACUUUUGAUAGUAUCCACGAAUAAUAAUAGUUGUUAGUAGCAAUAGUAUUUUUAUUUUAUAUGAUUAGGUUAAUGUGGGCGUCACACGGUCUGCAGUUUGUGUGUAGUUAGGGUCUAAUUCUAUCCGGGUGCUAAUCGUACACCUCUUAGUAUCUAUUAUCACUAAUUAACUAAUUUAAACUUAAUUGGCAACUCCAAAAUUGGAUUAGCGUUAAGUCGUAAAUAGUAAAUUAUAGUUUAAUAGUUUUGUGACCUAAUAGUUUAUAUCAGUUAUCAGCAGUUAGGAUGUCUCCAAAUGGAAUUUUAAUAAAACCGUAAUGAGGAAAUCUAAUGGUUUCUUGUUGAUUUCGAAUGUUUCAAGAUAAUUAAUCGGCAUGGCUUCGGCAACCUGAUUUAUGAUUCAUUUGAAUAUAGGUCGAUAGUGUAUGGGUCCAAAUCGUAUGGGCUUACGUUUCACAUUGAACGGAAAGCUAGUUGAGAGAUACGUGUUUGGGGUCGUUGUUAGUAUUAAAGCUCAGACUUCUUCAUUCGACGACUGAGCUUUGGAGCUUUUGUCAGGUUUGUGGUACGAGCUUAUUAUAUUAGUAGAUCGGGUCCACUGUUUGUUGUGAAAACCGCUCUCGCCGUCCAAUCAUGGUUGGCUAACUGCUUGUAUAGUAAAUAAAAGAAUAGUAAUAUACAUUGAUCAUCCCUCACCUUACAAAGAUUUUGUUUAAAAAAUGUUAUGUUAAUUUAAAAACUUUAUAGAUAGUUAAUUAAUGGGGGACAGGGCACAUUGUCUACGUUUGAUUCUAAUAAUUUGUAAAUUCUAAUUCAUUUUCUAUGUUUAAUUUUGUUGUACAGUUCAGAUCGGAACCGUAACUAGAAUCUGGACGAUAGUACAGUACAUUGCGGCCUAAGUUUCCCACUAGUUUAAAUUUCUUUACCAAUAAUUAUGUGUGUAUUGUGUGAUGUUCGACCAAAAAUAAUAUCAAUACGAGGGUACUUGACACUCAAAUGACUGACGGAGCUUAUGUUUUUUUGUUUUGUUUCCUAACUAUACCUUUAAUCCAAUACUGAAGUGUCUCUACGCGGCGUUUACUACGGCCAAUCUUUUAAAUAGGCAACCCGAAAUGUCCCCUUAAUGCUUAUUCUGUGCCUAUCGUGCGGCCGCUUAGAGCAGGGCCGGAUUUAGAGGUCUGGAGGCCUUGGGACAACAGAGGAGCGGAGGCCCCUUGCCCCAAAUUAUUCUCCAAAUAAAAUGAA
rnacentral:lncRNA from 1 species